rnacentral:rRNA from 1 species
UACGUAGGGGGCAAGCGUUGUCCGGAAUUAUUGGGCGUAAAGAGCGUGUAGGCGGCCAGGUAGGUCUGCUGUGAAAACUCGAGGCUCAACCUCGAGCUGUCGGUGGAAACCAUCUGGCUAGAGUCCGGAAGAGGAGAAUGGAAUUCCUGGUGUAGCGGUGAAAUGCGCAGAUAUCAGAAGAACACCCGUGGCGAAGGCGGUUCUCUGGGACGGUACUGACGCUGAGACGCGAAAGCGUGGGGAGCAAACAGG